GGGGGCGUAAAGGUUUCGACGGGGGUCAUGAAGCCGGUUAAGCACGCGGAGUUCUCCUAAACUCCUUAAUAAUGGGUAACUUAAAUUUAAACGCAGAUUAUAACGAUCUCGCUCUCGCUGCCUGAGUGCAGCGCGUCCGCCCGAUGAGUGCUGCGGCUUCGGGUCGGGCGUAACACAGCAGCCAACGCUUCGGGUGAGAGCUCUGUAACCCGUCGCGCUCUCAAAGAGCUGCCCAAUGCCUAUCCUGUCGUUCGGAGAGACUGCGGGGAGAUCCAAAUGACCGACUAAGCGUGUAGAAAGACCUGUGGAUCGGCUUUCGGACGCGAGUUCGACUCUCGCCGCCUCCACCA
rnacentral:tmRNA from 1 species